AAGAGAUGAGGAGAAACUGAAAUGAAUCUGAUGUAACUAUGACGACUGUCAGAUCCAACUCUGAUCGCCGCUUGUCU
ensembl:snoRNA